CAGUAGCCGCGGUAAUACGAAGGGGGCUAGCGUUGCUCGGAAUUACUGGGCGUAAAGGGCGCGUAGGCGGGACAUCAAGUUGGGGUGAAAGCCCGGGGCUCAACCUCGGAAUUGCCCUCAAAACUGAUGACCUAGAGUACGGGAGAGGUGUGUGGAACUCCGAGUGUAGAGGUGAAAUUCGUAGAUAUUCGGAAGAACACCAGUGGCGAAGGCGACACACUGGCCAAUACUGACGCUCAUGCACGAAAGCGUGGGGAGCAAACAGGAUUAGAUACCCCGGUAGUCCCUGUCUCUUAUACCC
rnacentral:rRNA from 1 species